rnacentral:lncRNA from 1 species
GGUUUUUUCUCUCUCUCUCUCUCUCUCUCAGCGGCGCCUCUCUCUCCGUCUUCCUCGCAGCGGGGCGGCUCUUCUCCUCCCAGGAUUCGCCAUGGCGGAGCAGGUGGGGGAAUUUUAUGGCCUCUGUGCCUUUGAUACCUUCAUGCUGUGGCUCUGGAUCGAGUUUCCUUACGAUCCUGUUCGCUCUUCACGAAUCAUUUUUUCUUUCGAUUCCGGGGAGUAUUAUAUCCGCCGAAUCGUCCAUACACCAGUUUCCAAAUCUCCUUCUUCUUAGCUACUUUCUGAUCGCGACAUGAGGUUUCGUCGAUGCCAUCGUUUGAUCUGCUCCUAGUUUCUAGUGGAGUGAGAGAGAUACCUCGUCAGUAAGUUUGCCCCGCGCCUUUUUUAAUGUUUUGAAAUCCCUUUUUGGCAGACUGAGAAGGCUUUCCUCAAACAGCCGAAAUUAUUCCUCUGGCAUGAUUGACUGGGAUUUACAAUUUUCAAUCUGUCGAUUCUCUCUUGCCAUCUCUUUUUUUGCCGUUUCUGAGCAGCAGGGUUGAAUAAUUCUUUUCCCGAUAGCGUGGUCACAGCUCAAAGAAGCCUGGGCCAUCUCUGUUGCAGUUCUUAGAGUUUUCUCUCUUAUAAUGUGGUAGGCUCAGGUAUUUUUAUUAAUUAAACGAGUACUCCAUCUCGAUUGUAUUGGUGGGGGGGCUACUAUGAUAAGCAUUAAAUCGUGCAAUAAUUCAUAUGAUUCAUACGGGAUGGGGAUUGGAUGUUCAAAUCUAAUUUUAUGAAUUAAUGAUGUCUCGCUCUCGUAAGCGCAUGUUUCCUUUUCAUAGUAGAAAACAGACUUUGCCCAUGCAACACUGGAUGAUAGUUUAAGUUUAUAUAAAAAAAUCUGCCAAAUUAAUAUAACUUUAAGAAUUAUGAAACUACAUUAUCUUAAAUUUUUUAUUAUUACAAACAUAAUGAAUCGACCGAAACUAGUCCCUUUGCUUUGACCCAUCACUCCCCAGAAAACGGCCUCUUGGCUAGUUAUUUGUUCUCUUCUUUGCUCGUAUAGCUACUAGACAGCUGAUAUAUCACAGAAAGAAAUAAACCACGAUUAACUCUCUCUCUCUCUUUCUCUCUCUCUCUCUCUCUCCGUUGACAUCUGAUUUAUCACAGAAAGAGCAGCAGCAGUAGGGCCCUGACAUGACAGAGGGAAGUCUACCGAACCAUACAGAGCUAAACGGACAAAGUACUAAGCUGGCAUGGUGGCCCGCAACGCAGCCCAAACGAUAACUACACAGGCCGGUCGUUCGGUGGGAACGCCACAGCAACGGUCAUGGUUGACUUUGACUCUGACUUUGGAGUGCCCACCCCUUCUGCGCGACAAGCUGGGUGGCAAGUCAGAGUCGAGGAGGCCACAAGUCCUGAGAAGUAGGCGAAUUCUGUGGGAACACCCACUCAGCAAGCAAGGAAGAACCCUAGGAGUUCAAUGAAAAGAAUAGGCGCAGCCAUUGCCGAAGCUUAUUUGUCGCAAAGAUACCCACAGAGAGUCAUUAUCGGACUAAAGUGUUCAUUAAUGAAAAUAAUUAAAACCCUUCCAUUCCUACCGACCCACCGAAAAACGACCUCUAAGAUAGAUGGGUUUAAACCUACAAGAUCCAGAGCAGGACUGAUUAAGAAGCC